ensembl:rRNA 5S_rRNA 5S ribosomal RNA
GCCAGCAGCCAUAUCACCCUGCAGCUCACAACUAGCUACCCCCUGAAGCUCAGCAGGUGUGAGCCUGGUCAGUACCUGGAUGGGAGACUCCUGGGAAAAACUAAGGUUGCUGCUGGAA